AAGUAUACUUUUUCGGAAGCCUCAAUACAGGUGGUGCAUGGUUGUUGUCAGCUCGUGUCGUGAGAUGUUGGGUUAAGUCCCGCAACGAGCGCAACCCCUAUCUUUAGUUGCCAGCAUAUAAGAUGGGAACUCUAAAGAGACUGCCGAUGAUAAAUCGGAGGAAGGUGGGGAUGACGUCAAAUCAUCAUGCCCUAUAUGCCCUGGGCUACACACGUGCUACAAUGGAAGGUACAAAGGGAAGCAACAGAGUGAUCUCAAGCAAACCUCAAAAAG
rnacentral:rRNA from 1 species